rnacentral:tRNA from 1 species
GAGAGUAUAGCUUAGUGGUAGAGGGCAUGCUUAGCAUGCACUAGGUCCUGGGUUCAAACCCCAGUACCUCCA